rnacentral:tRNA from 1 species
AAAGUCUUAGCUUAAUUAAAGUGUCUGUUUUGCAUGCAGAAGAUGUGGGGUAAUGUCCCGCAGAUUUUA